rnacentral:rRNA from 1 species
UUAAUUGAAGAGUUUGAUCAUGGCUCAGAUUGAACGCUGGCGGCAGGCCUAACACAUGCAAGUCGAGCGGCAGCACAGAGGAACUUGUUCCUUGGGUGGCGAGCGGCGGACGGGUGAGUAAUGC